rnacentral:rRNA from 1 species
GUCCACGCCGUAAACGAUGGGCACUAGAUGUGGGCGGUGUCGACUCCGUCCGUGUCGUAGCUAACGCAUUAAGUGCCCCGCCUGGGGAGUACGGCCGCAAGGCUAAAACUCAAAGGAAUUGACGGGGGCCCGCACAAGCAGCGGAGCAUGUGGUUUAAUUCGACGCAACGCGAAGAACCUUACCUGGGCUUGACAUGUUUCUGUAAGCCGUAGAAAUACGGCCCCUCUUCGGAGCAGAUUCAC